rnacentral:misc_RNA from 1 species
AAAACAAAUGUCGCAAUGUCAACAAGCACGAUGGAACGAUGGUUUAGGAGCGCGCUACUUUCGCGGCGGUUGUGAGGAGCGUUUGUUCAGUAUCGUGAAGCUGCUGAUUGAAUCUACUUUGUCAGUUCUAUCGAUUGCCAAUAUGCACUGUCCGCACGACUGUUCACACGGUUCAGCGGCGCCAUCAGUUCACCAAACAUUGGAAGAACUAGAUUUCAGCAGAGGUCUGCUCGGCGCAGCCUCUGAUGGGGACUACAAGAAGGUCGAGUCACUUCUUCAGAAAGGCGGUGAUCCUGAUCAGGUGGACGGUUACGGCUACAGUGCACUUAUCUAUGCCUGCAGGCAUGGACAUUCAGACGUAGUUGAACUGCUGCUCAGUCGUGGUGCACGACCAAAUGUGCAGACAAACGGGGGUGCCACAGCCCUCCACCGUGCAUCUUACAAAGGGCACGUGAAAUGCGUGCAUUUACUUCUCAGCAAAGGUGCAGACUGCACUCUAGUAGACAGUGACGGCAAAACAGCCCUGCACAAGGCAGCAGAGAAUGGGCAUGAGGAAGUCUGCAGGAUGCUUCUGCAAAAGUCCCCAGGUCUACUUGUGGUGAAGGACAGUCGUGGGAAGACAGCAUUGGAAUGUGCACUGCCAAAGCAUUCACACCUCUCCGAGGUGCUUCGGUGACCGCAACGAAUGUGGACAAUGAUAGCAGAACAAAACACUUUGUCUGACCCCGAUGUACUUACUUUGUGUC